UGACGCUUAUCAACACUUUAUAGUUCCUAAAAUCUUACUCACAUUGAAUUAUUUUGCGUCGAUGGCUUUGCGUUUUGGCUCCGGAGCACAAAUUGGACAGGCUUGCUUAAUAUCAUAAAU